rnacentral:rRNA from 1 species
GACGAACGCUGGCGGCGUGCUUAACACAUGCAAGUCGAACGAUGAACCCGGAGCUUGCUCCGGCGGAUUAGUGGCGAACGGGUGAGUAACACGUGAGUAACCUGCCCUUGACUCUGGGAUAACUGCUAGAAAUGGUAGCUAAUACCGGAUACGACCCUCGGUGGCAUCACCAGGGGGUGGAAAGAAUUUGGGUCAAGGAUGGACUCGCGGCCUAUCAGCUAGUUGGUGAGGUAACGGCUCACCAAGGCGACAACGGGUAGCCGGCCUGAGAGGGUGGCCGGCCACACUGGACAUGAGACACGGCCCAGACUCCUACGGGAGGCAGCAGUGGGGAAUAUUGCACAAUGGGCGCAAGCCUGAUGCAGCAACGCCGCGUGAGGGAUGACGGCCUUCGGGUUGUAAACCUCUUUUAGUAGGGAAGAAGCGAGAGUGACGGUACCUGCAGAAAAAGCACCGGCUAACUACGUGCCAGCCGCCGCGGUAA